rnacentral:lncRNA from 1 species
ACAGAAAUGAAUACUUUCAGACUAGGUUUGAAGGACUGAGUAGGAGUAAACUAAAAGAGAAAAAGCAGGACAAAAGAAGCACCACUUUGGAAGCUCAAAGCCGCACUGGAAACACAGUCUUUCAGGAUGUCUGAAAGGGGCAAGUCUGUUUGUGUGGGGCUGGGGAGCUGUGCUUUGGAAAAGCAAUGAGGAGGUAACAGGAAGUCUCUUCUCCUUCUAAAUCCUGUGUUCAUGGAGGAGGGUGGGUUUUCUCCUCUUGAGAGGGAGUUACAUACAAGUUUAAGGGAAAAGAGUCUGAAGUUUCCACCUAAAUGAUUCUGAAAGAAUCAGGU